rnacentral:snoRNA from 1 species
AUCCCGGACUAACCUUCUUUUGUUCUUCUGAUUCAUGGAAGGCAUAAACUAAAUGGCUGUUCGCUGAUAGCAUAUCUUCUAAUUGAAAGGGUCUGCUUUUAGUAUACAACCAUACAUUU